GUCUCAAGCCACACCACUCUGAAUGUGCCUGACCUCAUCUAAUCUUGGAAACUAAGCAGGGUCGGGUCUGGUUAGUAGAUGGAUGGGAGAAAGUUUUCAGAGGUGUUGAAACC
rnacentral:rRNA from 1 species